rnacentral:rRNA from 1 species
UGCUAAGAUCCGUAGUCGAAAGGGAAACAGCCCAGACCACCAGCUAAGGUCCCAAAAUAUAUGUUAAGUGGAAAAGGAUGUGGGGUUGCACAGACAACUAGGAUGUUAGCUCAGAAGCAGCUAUCAUUCAAAGAGUGCGUAAUAGCUCACUAGUCGAGUGACCCUGCGCCGAAAAUGUACCGGGGCUAAACAUAUUACCGAAGCUGUGGAUUUAAUAUUAAUUAAAUGGUAGGAGAGCGUUGUAAUCAGCGAUGAAGGUAUACCGUGAGGGGUGCUGGAGCGAUUACAAGUGAGAAUGCCGGUAUGAGUAGCGCAAGAUAAGUGAGAAUCUUAUCCACCGUAAGACUAAGGUUUCCAGGGGAAGGCUCGUCCGCCCUGGGUUAGUCGGGACCUAAGGCGAGGCCGAAAGGCGUAGUCGAUGGACAACAGGUUGAUAUUCCUGUACUAGUAUUGUUAGUGAUGGAGGGACGCAGUAGGCUAAAGGGAGCCAGUUAAUGGAUUCUGGUCUAAGCAGUGAGGUGUGGAAUGUGUCAAAUGCA